GGCAGCAGCAACAGCAGCCCUUAAUGAGAUUGGCAUGACCAUCACACAUGAGGAGGGAAUACACGACCUGUCUGUGCUGCCCUAAACACACACAAACACACAAACAAAAAGCCGGGCCCACCUCCCCUGGCCGCUGGCCUCACUGCAGUCUCUGCUCUGAUUGGUCAAAGCAAACAGAGGGGUGGGCUUUGAAUGCCCAUAGGUUUAGAGCCUGAGGGCUUUUAUGCAAUAUGGGGGAAAAAAGAGUUAGAGUUACAUCAUAUAGUUCUAUAUAGUUCAGUGUGCUGCAGUGUCAGAGUGAAGGCUGCAGCGUGUCCUGAAGCAGAGGCCACAGAUGCAGCUCAGCAGCUCCCACUGGUCAUGAAUGAAGAGCCGCCACUCUGCAGACAGCAGAGCAGGAAGAGACUGACUUCAUCUACCCUCACACGGCUGUUCUGCUCUCCUGCUUUGACAUUUGCAAAUUUCUGCUACCUGGGCUUUGACUAGGCCAAAGGUCUCCAUCUCCAGUUCUUGGGGGCUACUGCCCUGCAACCUUCAGAGUGAAGCCCUACCCAUUUGAUGACGGGUCCAUUGACCCCUGAGUGUCGCUGUUCUCUGGCAGCUGUAAC